UCUCUGUAGAAUUCCGUUGAUAACAAUUCUGGAGUUUGUAUACAAAUCUUUGGCAGACCGAAUUACAUUACGAAUAUCAUUUAUGAUUUCUUCUUGUCUGCUGCUUCUAAUAGAGUUGGUCCCUACGUGAAUUAUCACGCCUUUAAAGUUUGUGUUGGAAUCGUUGUUGUUUUGGUUGGAUUUUUCAGUGUUCCUAAUGUUAUUGAAAUGUUUCACAAUCUGAUGUGGUCGGAUUCCAGGGCGAACAUCGACUUUACAGUUCGGAACCACCACAUUUUUUAAUAUCGAGUCGCCAAUCACAAAGAAAUCACUUUUAACGAUCUGUUUUGCUGGAUUGCUUUCACAAUUAUAUUUUUUCUUAUACGUCACAGUUUUCCAGUUAUAUUUACUUUUAGAUUUACCGCACGAUUCGUUUUCCGCCACUGUUUUCACUGGGAUUUGCACAUACGAACUUACACAGAGUGUAGGGGAGCGACGCGGGAGACCCGUGCUGCCUUACUAGGCAAGGUCCUAGUGGAGGUGGUUUGCCAUUGCCUUCCUCUGACCGUAAUGGGGAUGAAUGAUGAUGAUGAAAACGACACAAUGACACCCAGUCAUCUUGAGGCAGGAAAAAUUCCUGAUCCCGCCGGGAAUCGAACCCGGGACCCUGUGCUCGGGAAGCGAGAAAGCUACUUGUGAACUAUUUCCUUAACAUAUUGUUUGUGAAUAAGUUGCAACCAAAAGCAUACUAAGGAUAUAUUCUUAUUUUGAGCAAAACAGUUAUCAGAAUACAUGAUUAAUUUAUCAAUAUUUUGAAGAUUGUUGGAAAUAUAUUUAAUUAAACAUGA